AGCUCUUCGGGAACGUCUAAGUAGCAGGAAUCGGCAUAGUCGAGGAUAGGGAGAAUGAGGGUUUGGACAAGGA